AUUUAUUCAUUCCUGAUGAAUGCGCUAUAAUGAUUAUUUGUACAUUUUUUGGGUAUCAUAUUGUUCUUCUUAUGGUCACAUAAGUGUUCACCGAAACAAUUGCCCAGUCGCUACAUUCUCUGAAAUUGUGUUAAUCGACUUAGGCUUUCAUGUUCUAGUAUUAGUAGGUUUCGAUGCUCAGCUUCUUUUCACACAAUGGACAGCAGGUGGCAGUGAAGCGCUAACGUACGCUGAGCUUCCGCGAGACAGUUCGCCGAGGCACAGCAAUAUUUAUUUGUACCAUUUUAGUUUCUGUCUCUCAAAAUCUGUGUAUUUACGCAGUGUAUAAUUCAUGAUCACUUUUCUAUUACAACCAUUUUAUUCUCUGUGUAUUUUAAAGAAACGAAUAUUUAACAAUUAUCCUAUCUGACGAUGUUGUAUAUCAGAUACCCACUCUGUGUAACGUUAGCCUGUUAGCUUCUUAGUUUUCUUAUUAACACGCUUUUAUUGUAAUGCACUUUUUAGUAUUUUAUCACUCUAAAAGAAGUGUUAUUCCUAAAACGCGUUAACCGUUUUCUUUAAACAGCCAUCAUAGUUUUCACACAUUUUGCUUUUAUAUGCAAACAGCGUCUCUUUUUCUAUUUUUGUGCAGAAUUAGGAACCAAAGAUGACCUCAAAAACGAAAGUGGGAAAGGUGGGCUCCAAAAGCAAAGAAGAUGCUCCUCAUGAGCUGGAGAGUCAGUUUGUUCUGCGGCUCCCUCAGGAACACAAUUCUGCAAGGGGCAGUUAUAAUUAAAUAAGACAAGUGUGGGAUACACUGGAACACAGGACAGUAUGAAAGGUACAUCAAGAAGUGAAUCUACAUCAUACUGUAUGUAAUGAAUGUCAUUUUAUGUCAGAAAACAGACCCAG